CAACGGCAAGCUUCCGGCCCAAGAUGUCAAAGGCUCUCCUAGGCGGCCUGUCCGCGAUCCUCGUCGUGGCGGUGGUCGUCGGCGUGGUGGCCACCGUCACCCGCUCCGGCAAGAAGGCCGGCGACAACUUCACCGUCCCAGGGGAGGCCUCCCUCGCCACCUCCGGCAAGUCGGUCAAGUCGCUGUGCGCGCCGACGCUGUACAAGGAGUCGUGCGAGAAGACGCUCUCGCAGGCCAACAAUGGCACGGAGAACCCCAAGGACGUGUUCCACAGCGUCGCCAAGGUGGCGCUGGAGUCGGUCAAGUCGGCCGUGGAGCAGUCCAAGGCCAUCGGCGAGGCCAAGUCCUCCAAGGACCCCAUGACAGAGGGCGCGCGCGAGGACUGCAAGAACCUCCUCGAGGACGCGGUCGACGACCUCCGGGGCAUGCUUGAGAUGGCCGGCGGCGACAUCAAGGUGCUCUUCAGCCGCUCCGACGACCUCGAGACGUGGCUCACGGGCGUCAUGACGUUCAUGGACACCUGCAUCGACGGGUUCGUCGACGAGAAGCUGAGGGCCGACAUGCACGCCGUGCUGCGCAACGCCACGGAGCUCAGCAGCAACGCGCUGGCCAUCACCAACAGCCUCGGCGGGCUGCUCAAGAAGAUCGACCUGGACAUGUUCAAGAAGGACUCGCGGCGGCGGCUGCUGUCGGAGGAGGACGAGAAGGGCUUCCCCGUGUGGAUGAGGUCGCCGGAGAGGAAGCUGCUGGCGGCGGGCAACCAGCCCAAGCCGAACGCGGUGGUGGCCCAGGACGGCAGCGGGCAGUUCAAGUCCAUCCAGCAGGCCGUCGACGCCAUGCCCAAGGCCCACCAGGGGAGGUACGUCAUCUACGUGAAGGCCGGCCUCUACGACGAGAUCGUGAUGAUCCCCAAGGACAAGGUCAACAUCUUCAUGUACGGCGACGGGCCCAAGCGCAGCCGCGUCACCGGCCGCAAGAGCUUCGCCGACGGCAUCACCACCAUGAAGACGGCCACCUUCUCCAUCGAGGCGUCCGGGUUCAUCUGCAAGAACAUGGGGUUCCACAACACCGCCGGCGCGGAGCGGCACCAGGCGGUGGCGCUCCGGGUGCAGGGCGACCUGGCGGCCUUCUACAACUGCCGGUUCGACGCGUUCCAGGACACGCUGUACGUGCACGCCCGGCGGCAGUUCUUCCGCAACUGCGUCAUCUCCGGGACCAUCGACUUCAUCUUCGGCAACUCGGCGGCGGUGUUCCAAAACUGCCUCAUCAUCACGCGGCGGCCCAUGGACAACCAGCAGAACUCGGUGACGGCGCACGGCCGCACCGACCCCAACAUGAAGUCCGGCCUCGUCAUCCAGAACUGCCGCCUGGUGCCCGACCAGAAGCUCUUCCCGGACCGCUUCAAGAUCCCCUCCUACCUGGGCCGGCCGUGGAAGGAGUUCUCGCGCCUCGUCAUCAUGGAGAGCACCAUCGCCGACUUCAUCAAGCCCGAGGGGUACAUGCCCUGGAACGGCGACUUCGGGAUCAAGACGCUCUACUACGCCGAGUACAACAACCGCGGCCCGGGCGCCGGCACCAGCAUGAGGGUCAAGUGGCCGGGCUUCCGCGUCAUCACCAGGAAGGAGGCCGAGCAGUUCACCGCCGGGCCCUUCAUCGACGGCGGGUUGUGGCUCAAGUUCACCGGCACGCCCAACAUCCUCGGCUUCAAGUUCUGAUUGAGGCUGAUGAGUGCGUGUUUGUGUCGCAGGACGUACAGGAGGGCUAACGCUUGUUCUUUUACCACUUUUCUUUCUUGUUUUUUCUUCCCUUUCCUAUGGCUAUUGUUCCUGAGUUUUUCUGUUGCUGAAAAUUUGCAGUAAAGUAAAUGUCUUUUGGUGAAUUGCUGUUAUUGUGACAUUAUUUUCUGCUAUUGCCUGCC